rnacentral:lncRNA from 1 species
GCGCCUAGCUUCAACGUGUCGAUUGGGCAAGUCUCUGGCUUAGGUGGAGUUGGUGUUGGCGGUGUUACGACCGGUGGGCUUGGUGUUGGUGGCGUAACAACAGGUGGCGGUGGGCACGGUGAUGGCGGUGGCGGUGGGCACGGUGAUGGCGGCGUUACGACGGGUGAAGGCGUAUGAGUGGGUGGUUUAGGGGUGGACGGAGGUGGUUUAACAGUGGGCGGUUUCGUGGGUGGUUUCGGGGUAGACGGAGGAGGUUUAACGGUGGGCGGUUUCGUGGGUGGUUUCGGGGUGGACGGAGGUGGUUUAACGGUGGGCGGUUUCGUGGGUGGUUUCGGGGUGGGAUGAGGUUUGGUAGGGGGUUUCGGAUGUGGGUGUGGUUUGACAGUGGGCGGUUUGGUAGGGGGUUUAGGGUGUGGGUGUGGUUUGACGGUGGGUGGUUUGGGAGGUUUUACUGCCGGUGGUUUAGGCGGUUUGCUAGGAUGUUUAGGCGGUUUGUGGGGGUGAGGUGAUGGUUUAGGAGGGCUACAGUCGCAAGCGAAGGAGACGGCAAGAAAGCCAAGGAAGAGGAGGAUAAGAAAAGAGAGGUUUUGUGUACGAGACCCCAUUUUUCUAGAGUGAGGGUGUGGUUUACCCAAAGGAGUGAGUAAGAAAGAUAUAUGAGUGUAUCAUUUUAUAGAAAGAUAUUAAAAUAUAUUUGCUAUAUAUAAUUUUCAAAUAUGCAUUCUGUGACCAGAUUAUUGAAACUGAGUUUCGGUUUUUGUUUUUGUUUUGAAAUCUAGAUUUUGUAGCAUGUGUUAAGUCACUUAGUUACAACUUACAAGUUGUCAUUUCCUGAGUUGUAAAAAAAUAGGACAACAUUCGUUAUAUAUAUAUACUUCCAUAGAACUAUUGUGGAUCAACCUAUGUGAAGAGGAUACAAAAAAAUAAGCUUUAAAGAUUUUAGUAAGUUCAAAAAAAAUUUGUAUUUUUCUUAUUGAUCAAAACACUGCCAAAAGCAAAUACACUGCAUUUGGUGCGAAGAACUCAAACACUACUCCUCGCAAGGUUUCUGCCAAAUCAUUUGCUCUAUCCUUCUCCCUCUGAGUUUUUUUAAUCUAGGGAGAUAUAUAUACCUUGUUAUUCAUAGUCUACUUAGAACAAGGAAGCAGAUAUAUAUUAGAUUUCUAAUAUACAACCUCUGAGUAACUCGGAUUCGGCCACCUCCUCGAAUCAUAGGAUGACUCUAUCCACUCUUCAAUGUACAUAAUAUUAUUUGAUCAUCCAUGUUUUUUUGCACUCGGUAAUUUCUAGCUAUAUAUUAAAACUGGAAAUUGUUUUGAGUAAAUUCGAUUAUGAAUAGUUGGUAAACGUACGUUUAAAGGAUGGUUUUAUGCUUCUGCCAUGGUUGUUAAAAUAAAGGAAUAAAAGAGUGCAAUUUUAACCAAAAAAAAGAGAGAGAGAGAGAGAGAGAAUGCAAUUUCAGUUCUACGAGACCUUCAUCUGAAUCCAAAAUAUAUUAUGAUAAAAAAGAAGCAAAUAUUACAACCGUGCGACAAACGCUCUCAACUCUUCUUGCUACAAACGCCGUGCGCCUUCGUGUUGCUCCGGUCCGGCAAGCGUGCUGGUGCCGGAGGCCCUUUCUCCUCUCCUCUUUGCUCUUCUCCCUUGUCUCUUCCAUGGUUUCCUUGCUCAGAUCUGUGAGUAGGUCAAAGGUGGUCAUCGGCGUUCCGGUCUAGAUCUUGGUGCACGGAGGCCAGAUCCGGUGGUUAUCUUACUUGCUUGGAGUGAUGGCGAAGUCUGGGAGCGGUGAGGUGGUGAAGAGUCGGCUUUUAGGGUUUGUGACGGCGGAGCGAGUUUUUCAGAUCUACGGACUGCCGCUCUUCUCCUCCGUCUGAGUUUGCGGCAAUGUGUCGGAGGUCUCUCUUCUCCUGUUGUUCAGAGUUGCGGUCGUGGUGGCUGUCUCUGUUUCUCCAGCAAGUUGGGUCGGUUUUUGCGGUUUGUUCUUAGCCUCUGUCCUUGGCGUCUUGGAGAGGUUCUUCUUCCGCUUCCGGCCAGGAAAGUCACUAUUGGUCUCAUCCUUCCAAUGGUGGCGCCACCAGAGAGUGGUAGGUUUCGCGUGUCUCCUCCUUCUCAUCCGGUUUCAAGCGUGUGGACUGUGGGCUGGUGCUGUCUCUUGACGUCGUCUAUGGCGUUGUUGACAAUCCCUUUCAUGUCGACGCUUUCCUUGCUCUGCUCUGGCACUGUUCUUGCUCGUGCUUGGAUCCCAAUCUCUCUCUGAUUUGUUCUCUCGGAGGCCUUCGCGUGAUUCAGGUCGCUUGAGAAGCUGUGGAACCGAGUCCCGGUUCUCGGUCUCGGCGUUUGGCAAGUUCUCUUCGUCGCUUGCGGUGGUCAGCAGGUUCCGGAGAAACUUGAAGGCUUCAGACGUUACGCCAUGAUUUCGCAGUGCUGCGGUUUGUUUCUUGACUAGCUGCAGUAGUUAUGGCUUUUUCUACAGCUUAUAGGUUUUGAUUUGAGCUCUUUGCAAGGACGCCUAUAUCUCGGCCCGUCUUGUCCUUGUUUGUGUCGAGUCGGGGUGCUCGUACACGUUAAGAUCGGUGCUUUGAAUGUUCAAGGAUUUCGCUGGGUUCGUGCUGAGGAUAAGUGUCGUCAGUCUCUGCUGGGUUCGUGCUGAGAGUAUGCUUCGGUCUUGCUCAAAGCGUCGUCGGGAGACUAGGGUUCGUACUUUGAAGCGUCGUCGGAAAACUAGGGUUCGUGUUCUAUGGCGUCGUCGGAUUUCCUAGCCGUAUUCACGGUUGUAGAUCAUGUUUUUAGCAUUAAGACUUGUAGUUUUAAUCCUAAUGGUUGUCCUUUAAGAUUUUUUCACUUUUUUUGGAUCUUAAAGAACUUGUAUCCUUUCAUUUUCAUUAAUGAACAUUUACAGUUUAGCAAAAAAAAAAAAAUAUAUUAUGAUAAAAAAAGAAAAUUCAUGCCACCAAAAAUAUUUUUCUUAAAGAAAAUAUGAUCAUUGGCCAAAAAUCAUGAAAUUUGUGGUUGUAAAAGUAAGAGACAUUUCAUAACAUUCACUUAAAAUCCUUUGUUUUAAUUACUUGGACAUGAUCAUAAUGGUUUAGCCAAUAUAAAACGUACAAACCAUGAAAAUGUUUGACGAAACGACCACCGGAGAUAGAAUUGUCAACAUGCAUUGAAAAACAUAAACUGUCGCAAAGGUAGGCACCAUUUUUUUUUUUAAUUGAAAAGGUAGGCACCAUUAUCGUGUACGUCUUAUAUGUUUUCUAUUUCUUUCUUUUGUUCUCGUUUCCAAAAGGCUAUUGUCACCAAGCUUUUCCAUUACAUAUUUUCCGUAAAAUGAUCGAUAUUUUCAUAUAUGGAUAAAACUUAGCUUUUCCAAAUAUGCCUUCUCUUUUUAUAAUCCUGUCUAAUAGUGUCUUGCACCCUGGUUUGUUAAAUCGGAGAUCCAGUUGGUCAAAUAUCUAAAAUCAACGCGUAAAUCAGGGAAAUGUCCCGAUAUUGCCAAGCUCUAUUACUCUAGCAUAAUAGCAUUUUAGAGAAUGCCCAGUCUAUCAGCGUUUAACAGUCACUAGAUUAAAACAUUUGUUAUGUUAUUGUAUAGAUUUUCUUUUCUAGAAAAACUUUGGGCAGACAUAUUUUGUAGUUACUAGUGAAAACAAUGGGAGUAACCAGAGGAUUUUGUAGUGUAAUGGCCAGUGGGCAGACAAUUUAUGAAGGGAUUUUGUCAGCAUUACUUGACUUAAGACACACCUCCCAUCUUGUAUAGUGACAAGAUAUAAUCAAAGACAUCCUUCUCACUCUUCUUUUUUUCUAAUUCCUUCCGUUUUAGGUCCACUUUUCGAGAAGCAUAUUAGGCAAGUUCAGAACUUCUCUUGGGUUUUGGUUUAUGUUUUUACCUAUUCAAAAAGGAGGAAAAGAAUCAGUUUUGGUUUAGCAUACCAAACCUACGAUAUAAAGUAUUCAAAUGUUCAGUAUUCAUAUAAAGUAUAUAAGUCGAUAUAUCUUGAGCCAAGGUCCGAGUUAUUGGGAUUUCGUAGGUAGAUGACAGGUUGAAAAGUAUUCGUUUAUAUUGAUGAAAUCACUCCCCCACCUCCAUAACGUGUUUCGGACGUUCAGUCAUUUACAUUUUCAUAUAGCCAAUCUAGGCUUUGGAUCAUAUAUUCCAUAUGAUUUGUUCAAAGCUUUUUCUUUAGUUUGUUUUUGUCUCCCGCGUUAGAAAGAUACGAGCUUGUGCGCCUUUUAUCAGAUCUUUAAGUGAUUGAAUAACGUCCGUGAUUGAUGAUUCUCUUUAGAAUUUUUCCAUUAAAUAUUAAUUAUACUAGUGAUGAUUCAGAAUAUGAUUUCAUUGUGGGUCAACAUAUACUAAUUAAAGCUAAAUCUAGUAUCUGAUUGGUAAAAUUGAAACGAUAAUUUGGUUAACACACACGUUCACUGCGUUUAAAAUAACAAAACUGUAAAUUUACUUUCUUCAGAACACGAUUUAUAGUUAUUUUUCUGCCAGAUUCUUUCACAUGGUGUAGAAAGCUUAUUUAUUAGUAUUGUUGGGGAUUUUUGUUAUUCAAAUUUCUAUUUGUCCUGAAUAAAUUUAUUAUUGAACAGUUUUCACCAUACUAUGAUACUAUUCGCAGAUUUACUAAGAAAAGGUAGAGUGAAAGUUGUACAAAAUCCCAUUGUGUUUGAGGAGUAAAGGUUUUCUCUACCACUUUUUCUCUGAACAACUUUUCUUUGCCAUAUUCACUUUCGCAUCUCUAUUGACAAUAUCGCAAAAACAUUGUGGUUUAUUUUCUAAUUCAGUUUAUCAAGAACUGUUUAAAAUAAUUUUAGUUAUAAUUUAUAAACCUACUUUGUAUUAUAAAUUAUGAAAUUAAAAACUUUUAGAUUUAUUCACGGUGAAUAAAACAAAAUAAAGUUUAGACGCCACUACAAGGUGGCGGGUAGGAUUUGGCGGGUAGCAAAAACAUUGUAAACCCGUGAAGUCUGUCACUUUUAGGAUUUAUUUUUCUUUAAAAACCAAAAAUGGGAAAUGGAUAAUGUGACGUGCUGAAUGCAUCUCAUGCAUGCAUGUGACUCCACCAUAAUUUAAGAAAAAACAAACUUAAAAACAUGUGGUCUGACUCUCUGAGUACUCAUGUCCUAGUCGUGAUAAUUUGUUUUGCAGAAGCUUUUUUUUUUUGCAAUUAAAAAGUGGAGAAGAAGAAAUCGAACCCGGUUUUGCGGAAGCUUGAUCAUUUCUUUACUGAUAGAGUGAUAAUAGUUAGAGAAAAUUGGCCCAUGUACCCUUAAAUGAUCCCUUAAUUUGAGCUUUGCGCCUGAAAUGACAGUAUUAGUUUUAUUCUGAAAUUAACCUUACUUCGUCGUUGACGGCUUUAGAUGAAGUUGUGUCAGUAUACUCUGUGCAUGUCGAAAAUAUGUAUCAGAUGGAAAAUUCUUUUCUAGUUCUCUUUCUUCUCGUAAUCUCUUUCUUUUCAAAGGUCUUUUUUUUUCUUUUCACUUCUCUAUAUUAAAUGUGUGUUUUGCAAUGUCUUUCUUCUCUCCUUCUCUAUUUUCUUCGUAGAUUCUUUAUUUUUGUUUCGUUUUUUAAAUCUAUAGAUCUUUAUAAUUUAAAAAAAAAAAAGAAAGAAAUUCAUCUCAAAUUUGUUUUGCACUACUUUUUCAUAUUAUGUUCUUCAUCUAGACUUUUUUGAUUCCUUUUAUUUUAUUUUCUAUGUUUGAUUUUUCUCAUUAAUAUAUUUUAUCUCUAAUGAACUCUCUUUCCAGGGUUGGGAAGUUGCUGAAGAUCGAAGAUGAAUCCAGAGUGAUGGCUAGCAAUUUCGUGAUGUUUGUUGAUAUAUAUAACAUUUAUGUUAGCAACCAUUUUACUUGUUACCCAAUAUUAUUUAUGUUUAUUAGUGUAUAGAAAACAAAAGAUACAUAGUUGGUUAAAUAAUAUAUGGCUUGUUAGGCGUUAAAUUUUUCUUGGUAUUUUAUUUAUUAGCUAAUACAUUAUUUGUUAGUUGAUACAUAUUUUCGUAGUAGAUACAAUUUUUUAUUAUAUAUGUUAUUGAUUCUUUUAACACACUAGACAUAAUCAUGAUCAUCUAACAAUGGUUUGUUAGCUGAUAUAUGAUUUUUUUUUCUGAUUAAAUAAAUUUAUUGAUCAAAGUGGAAAAGGGAUUUACAUAAGAUGAUCUAUUGUUCUACUCUAUAAAGAAUAAAACAAUGAUAUGUUCUAAUAUGUGUAGACAGUAAACCAUCUCAAAAGUAGUCCGCUCAGCAUAUGGUUUCCCCUAUACUUCAAAGAUGAGAUGUGCUUCUUGACAAUAUUCCCAAUAGCCUUAGUAGUUGUAUCCACAGGUGCACACACCUCCGUGCCGUCUUGAGUUCCUCUCCUUCCACAGCAUAUAAAUGGCUGUUUGGAAAACUAAGCGGAGGAAUAUAGUAUCGAUUCUGCUCCUGUUCUGGUGUAACAUGGAGGUGACUAUAUUUUCCCAGUCCGGUGUUAUCGCUGGACAAAGUAAUUUCUUUGCUACAUUCAUCCAAACUGUAAAGGUAUAAGGGCAAGCGAAAAACAAAUGAUCUCUGCUUUCAUUCUUGUGGGUCUCCACAGUAGACACAUCAUUGCUCCAUUCCCCAUUCUUUUAUUCUAGUGUCUGUUGAUAAUCUGUCUUUGAAAGCUAACCAUACCAUGAAGGAUUGUCGGGGUAUGGCCUGAGGGAACCACACAAUACAAUGCCAAGGAAGCUUUGUCUUUUUAACUCUCAGGUAGUUCCAAGUCUUGGUAGCUGAGAAAUAUGGUUUCAAAUCAUCCUGGUCAUGUCUCCAUAGAGCUAUAUCUGGCUCUGCAGUAGCUACCGGCUGUGAAAUAUCUGCAAGCUGAUAUAUGAUUUUCGGAAUAGACAGUUUUGUUUUUGGUUUGUUAGAUGAUCAUGAUUAUGUCUAGUGUGAUAAAUAGUUUGUUAUAGGAUACAUGAUUUAUUACCCGUCACAUAUUUUGUUAGCUGAUGAAUAGUUGAUACAUGGUUUGUUUCAUGGUUCACAAUUUAUUAAAUGAUACAUACAUACAUACCAACUAACACAUAUGUUAUCAAGAACGGGUUCUUCUUAAAUUUUUGAUACACCACCGCAUGAAUUAUAGUUGAAGAGAAAGACCACAACACAGAAUUUCUAUUAAUAUGAUUGGAAAUUGAAAACACAUUAUGAUUUGAAACAUAAAGGGAUAAGAACAAUGUUCACUGGAAGGGAUAAAAUCCCCGCAACCUGUCAUAUCGAUCGGAGUGUUUAAUGUUAAAUCCUCCAGUGAGUUUAAUGUCAUAUAGGAGUGUUUAAUGUUAAAUUUUUAAUACAAACAUAAGAACAUCAUUAGUGGUAUGAUACCCAUUUAGAGUAUCUAAUUUAUAUAAUAUUAAUAUUAAAACUAUUAAAUUUUAAACAAAAUAAAAGUCCAACCAAUGAGACAACAACAAAUAUUACCGGAGUCUAUAUCAAAAUGUGUGGAACGUUUCUCUAUAAAGGUACGUUAUCUUUCUAUUGUUUUGAUAUUUUUAUUUCAAGAAACCUAUUCAGAAACUAGCACGCAAGUUUCCUAAGAACAGUUUUUAAAAAAUGAUGUACUGAAUAUCUAUUUAUUAAAAUAAAAAUAAAAGGGAAUAGAGAACUAGAAAAGUUCUUAAUUGAGAAAUUUUGAGAACUUCAUAACAACCUUACUGUCCAAAUGUCAAAUAUUGGUUAGAUUUUUAAUAUCAAAAUUAAAUUUAACUAAGAAAUUAAGUUCUAUUUAAAAUUUAUACUUUUUUGCCGUAAAAAAAUCCAUGUGGAUUCUUACCAAUGGUGUUGCUCUAAUAAGACUAUCCACAUCAAAAAUAUUUCAAUUAGAAUAUGUCACCAAAAUAAUAAUUUUUUUUUUAAGAGAUUCAUGCUGAAAGUCGUCAUUUGAGAAUUCUGGACAUGAGUCUAUCAAAACAUUUGUAAAAAGAAAUCAUUAAAAUAUUGUAUUUUGUUGAGAGAUUCAAAUAAUAAUGUCCUAGCGAAACAUACUUAUGCAUGAGUAUGAUUUCUCAACUUUGUUUGCUCUUUGGUUAGCUAAAACUACAAAGAAAUAUUUGAUAAAAUAUCAGUAUCUGUGAUUGGAUAAGAACGGAUAUCUAAAUUAAUAUUAGUAUUUAUGAUUUGUUAGGAAAGGAUUUUGGAUUAAAUAUUACUAUUGAUUUCGACACGUCUACUAAUAAUUCCCAUCGUUUAGCACCUCAAGACGUAGAAGAAGACAGUAACAUACAGUGAAUAUUAUAGUGGCACAAAUAUAUCAGAACUCAACUGUAUUGUGAGACGAUUGAAGGUACAAAGAAAAAUUUAUUAUGUCUUACUUUUUCCACUUAUCUUCUACUACAUUUUGCCUGGAUUUGAAACUUUAUUAUGCUAUCUUUAGCUAAUUCAUGCAAUAAUAGAUUUCCUUGGGAUGAACUGGCACAAUUUUUUUUUGAACACAAAGAUGAACUGGCACACAUAUUAAACAUUUGUCGGUUAUUUCUUAAGUACAUUCCAGAACAAAAACAUACUAAUGUAUGUUGAUAUGUAUUACCAUUUACAAGAAUAACAUUGACAAAAGAAUAAAGAGUAGAUGUUCAUACAUUUUCAGUGUCACAUGAAAACACAGUUAAGUAAGUUUGGGUUGGCUCAAAAUAGUCAAAGCAAGUUAAGCGAUCAUUUAGGCCGAAUACUAUAGAUUAUAGACACAUUCUCUCUCUCUCUUUUUUUUUUGCUAAAAUUCUCUCUCUUUUUUCUAAUGGUUUUUCCUUUAAAGUAAUGCAAUCGGGAAUUUUUUUGCUUGUUACUGUUCAAAACCAAUAUAAGAGCUAUAAACCCAAUCUUUAUGAAAAAAAUAUCAUGAAACUAAUAAAGAAAAUUGACCUUCCAAUAUAUAAUUACGGAUUUCAAUUUCAUGCAUGCAUGCAUGUCCCUGCACCAUUCGUUUCUUUGUUUUCUCUCACGACCCAAUAAUUUGAAAACCAAGUAAAUUAAAAGAAAUAUUGGUGGUCGUCUGAGUACUUGAGUAUUAUUCGCAAGGACGUGUUGUUGGUCCAUAACCAGCAGAAAAGACCAAGAAAACGAUAUUGGUUUUGAUGUUGAAUACACGUCGGUCCGUCGACAGCAGAAAAGAGAAUAAAAUCCAGACGCCAUAUGAAUUUGUUUAUGUCGGUAACUCAAUAGCAGAAAAUAGGAUUAUAUAUAUUGAAUCAAAAAGCGAUCAUCGUUUUGAUAUUUUAAUUUACGCAUGUACCUGCACUAAAAAUAUUGAAAUAAAAAUAAUAAUUUUAAUUUUGAUUUUUUGAGGAAAAUAUCACAAAUAAAAUACUUUCAUACGUAUCUUAACAUUAAAAUAGUGAUAUAUUUUAAUAUAUAUAUAUAUAUAUAUAUAUAUAUUUAUCUACUUUCUUAAAAAACAUUCAUUAGAAAUACUCUUAAAACAUAUUAAAAAAAAACAUUUUUAUUGAUUGCAGAUUUUUUUGUAAAACAGAGGUUGACUAACGAAAUGGUUGGUUUUCAAGUUUAUCAAUUGAAAUGAAAUCACAGUUAACUCUGGAUUUAGCUAACUUUUAAAUUAACAAAUCAUUUGAAGGAACUCCACAUGUCCUAUUUCUUAAAUAUGCUUUUAGCAUAAUCUCUAAAUUUCCUGGAGCUUCAAGAGUCUCAGAAUACCGCCCUAUUUCCUGUUUAAAUACUAUAUAUAAGGUCAUCUCGAAGUUCCUAGUUUCAAGACUCAAACCUAUUCUACCGCACUUGAUUCUCCCGUGUCAAACUGCAAUCGUUAAGGAUAACCUGCUUAUUGAAAACACAGUACUUACUAGUGAAUUGAUCCAUGGAUACCAUAAGAACAAGGGAUAAAAAAAAAUUACCAUAAAGGUGGACAUAGCCAAAACUUUCGACACAUUAUCAUGGGAAUUUCUCCCUUGAAGGUCUCCACAUCCCUCCUAAGUUCAUUUUAUGGCUCAAGGCCUGCAUAUGCACGACAAGCUUUAUGAUUGGCUACAAUGGUACAGUCUCAGGUUAUUUUAAACGCAAAAGAGGCUUAAGGCAAGGUGACCCACUGUCCUCUUACUUAUUUGUGAUCGUUAUGAACUGUCUAUCCUUUAUGCUAAACAAUGCAGCGGCUCAUGGGAACAUUUAGCAUUCCAAAUAUUGUAAGAUGAAACUAACACAUCUAUCAUUUGCCGACGACAUACUGAUUUUCAUAGAUGGGUCUUUGGAGUCGGUCCAAAAUGUGCUUCAAUUCCUCCAUGAAUUUGAGCAACGGUCUGGCUUGGCGGUCAGCUACCAAAAAACAAGUUUUUAUGCAUCAGGUAUGUCUCCUCAAGAAAUUGAAACGAUACAGGCAUCUACUGGAAUGUCUUGUGGGACUCUACAUGUCUGCUAUCUUGGAGUAUCGCUCAAUUCAAAAAAAUUGAACCUUGCCAAUUGUGAGCCUCUCAUUCACCAGAUCAAGUCAAGACUCUUCUCUUGGUCAGUGAAGUCACUCUUCUCAGGCAGGCUCCUCCUCAUUAAAACUGUGUGAUUGCGGGAAUCACAACAUUUUGGUGUUCAGCCUUCAUCCUGCCAAAAACGUGUGUUUGGCGUAUCAAAUCUAUGUGCAGUGUGAUCUUAUGGAAGGGAGAAAUUGAUGGCCACAACUCUGCAAGAAUGGCUUGGGAGACAGCAUAACUUACAAAAGAUCAGGGAGGCUUGGGGAUUAGGGACCUCCAAACUUAGAAUAAGGCUUGCUGCUUAAAGCUAAUAUGGAUGUUGUUCUUUUAUGAUGGGUUUGUGUGGGUCGCUUGGUUCAAGAAGGUCAUUAUAAAAGGGUCCAUUCACAACUACUGGACAACUAAACCAAGCAGCUCCUACUCAUGGCUAGCCAACAAACUCCUCAAUCUAAAAAAUGAAAUCUUCCCACUCAUCAAAUUGCGGCUGGAGAAUGGUGUCUCUGCUAAAUUUUGGUUUGAUAACUGGACUCCCUUUGGAAGCCUUUCGACUUUCCUCAGUAACUCCUCAUCAAAAUCAGGUAUUCAUGAAAAAGCUUAUGUAGCCUCACAAUGUAGGAAUGGAAUUUGGCUGCUUCCACCUGCAAGAACAGAAGAACAAGUUCAAUUACAGACAUACUUCACUACCGUCACUCUCACUCAGGCUCAGUACUGCUAUGAAUGGGAGCUGGAAGGUAAACCUACUCAGACUUAUAGCAUCCGAGAUGUUUACACUUACUUGAGAGGAGAAAUCAAUUAUGUGAUUUGGUCUUCCUAUGAGAUCCGAAGACACAACUUCCUUGUUUGGUUGGUAAUCCAAAACCGAGGUCCAACUAAAGAGAAAAUACUCGGAUGGAGCUUUCAGGUUUCGCUUUCAGUUUUGAUCUUUGGUCCUUGGCUGCUUCACGGUGUAGGAUCACCCCCACUAGAGAUUGGAACGAUACAGUCUCUUAGAUGAUUGGACUACCAAGAAGCAAAUCGAGGCGCCAUCAAACUCUCCUAACUCUCCUAGCUUGGAAAAUAACAAUAUACUGGACAUGGAAUGAAAGGAAUUCUCGUCUUCACUCCAAUGUAUAUUGAUCGGUCAAUACUAUCUUUGCAAUAUUUGAUCGUCAACUGAGAAACAAGAUUAUGAGCUUCAGAGCAUCUAAUCCGGUUAUCUCCGCAGCAAUGUUGCAAGCAUGGUUCUCAGUGGGUUAGACUUCUCUCCGUCGACGGAUUCAUCAUCUCCCACCUCUCAACCAUCGUGCUUUCCGUCACAAGAAAACUGAUUGUCUUUUCUAAUCUGGAUACGUGGACUCUUUUUCUGUGUAUUUAAUGGGUCAUGGGUCAUUAAGAUUCAUUUAUUAUGAGUUUUAAGUCUGGGUUUGAGCUUCGGUAACUAAAGCCAAAAGCUUGUAAACAAUUUUUUUUUUCAUUUAAUGAAAGCCUAAGUUACAGAAAAAGAAACACAUUCAUGUAUUUCAAUACAUAACAAAUGUACUGUAUUCCUUGACAAAAGAACAAAAGUAGAGUAAUUAUUUGCUAUUAUUACAUAUUAAGCAAAAAAUGUUUUGAGGAUUUGGAUUUGGGUUUGUCACAUGGAUACCCAGUUAACAGCCUGGGCCGAUUCAAAGAACUCAAAGUAAACCUGAGCCAAUUAUAUUAGACUUCACGGCCCAUUAUAUAAGCUUCUUCUGGUCUAGUGGAUGGUCUCAAUUCUCAAAAUAUUCGAGGAAAUGAGAAAAUGUAUAGCAUCCAGCCUUGGAAUGAGCAAUAUUGCUGUAUAACAGAGAUGUCAGGGAGAGUAGACCGCGUUUGUGGAGCCUACGAGUUUCUUAAAAGACUUGGUGAAGAAGGCAGGUGAAUGUAACCGAAUUUACACCUGACAAUUUCAUGUAAACUCCGUUACAAAAAAAAAAAUUCAUGUAAACUUUUGUAAGAUAUAAUCAUAUAAACGUAAUAAUGUUACUUGCUUUGAAUUAAUAAAAAGUUAUUACAAACAACAAGCCAUUGGCCAAACUAUAACCAUAACCUUAUGAAUAUCAAAAAUAAAUUUUAUAAUGUAUUUAUUAGUGAGGUUGAACUUUAUAGUAGGGUUUUUAUUUUGGUUUGUAUAUGAUGAUCAUAUUAGAUAUUACAACUACCAUAUGCAUGGAGAUUGAAAAUUGCAUGAACAACCUAAAAAAAAAACUUACUAGUCAUUAAACUCAACCACUAGUCGUCCACCACUAAAUAAACUCAUAAGAAAUAUAUUUAUACAUACAGUUGUAUCUUUUUUAUAAAACUACAGAAAUGCUAGGUGAAAGAAUACUAGAAAGUUUGUUCCAGCCUAUCAUUUCAUGUGUGUUUACAACCCUAUAUAAUGUGAAGAGACAUAAUUUAAUCAUAAUUAACAUUAAAAGUUAUAAAACAUGAUUGAGAGUCUUGAGCUGUUUUGUUAAUUGUAAUUGGAAUUAAGCUCAAUAUGCAUAUUGAGGUUAAUGGGACUCGUAAUGUUUCUAGAUUCAUCCCCUCUUCCUAACCCAUUUCUCACUCGGUUUUAUCAUUUCUUCAAUGUUUGGCUUUUGUAUUAUAUUGGCCAGACUCGAUAUCAACGUCGAUCAACGUCAAAGACCCGUCUCAGGCAAAAUCGCAAUUAUAGUUAUAACUGUAAUUAACAUCAGAGCUAAGGAAUUGAAAAGAAUAUAGAUAAACGAUAAUGAUCUUUAAUCUAGGCAUGUUAGUAGCCUAUACUACCUUCACCAAAAAAUCUUCCUAGGCAAGUUUGAUUUCAACAUCAUCCCCAUAUAAUUGUCAAAAGACUAUUCUGGUCUUUCAGAAAAUUCUAUUAAAUAUAUUUCACUAAUCCAAAUUUUAGCAAUAAAAAAUGAUUAAAGAAAAAAAAAAAGCCAAAUUAAUUUUGUGGAAGGAAAAAGGCCAAUCACAGUUUAUUUUCGACUACAACUCAUAUAUGUUAGAUAAUAUCAAACCAUUAUGCCAUAAAAAGAAGAAAAAUAUAAAGUUAUAACUUAUAUUUAUAAUUUAAAUUGAAAUUGUGGAUUGAAAAUUUAGAAUUCUUUUUUUUUAAAGGAAAAUUUAGAAUUCUCACAACCUUUAUUGAGCUAAUUUGGUAAAAUUGCAUUCACAUUAAGUUCGUGUUUGAGAAAAUGUCUACAAUCCAAUAAGAAUACAAAAGUUAGUGUAAGCUAAUUUGGUAAGCUAAUUAUGGAUUGAAAAUAUAGAAUUCUCACAACCUUUAUUGAGCUAAUUUAGUAAAAUUGCAUUCACAUUAAGUUCGAGUUUGAGAAAAUGUCUACAAUCCAAUAAGAAUACAGAAGUUAGUGUAAGCUAAUUUGGUAAGCUAAUUAUGGAUUGAAAAUUUAGAAUUCUCACAACCUUUAUUGAGCUAAUUUAGUAAAAUUGCAUUCACAUGAAGUUCGAGUUUGAGAAAAUGUCUACAAUCCAAUAAGAAUACAAAAGUUAGUGUAAGCUAUUUGCCUCGUGCAUCCUCCAUUCAUAUGCACGUUUUAAAAAAGAAAUUAUGAAGUUACAACUGAUAUUCAUAUUUUCAAAUCUAUCGAACUAAUGGUAAAGCAGCCAAAAGCUACUUUCAUACUAAUUUCAUGUUUGAAUGUCUACACUCCAAUAAGAAUACAAAAUUGAACCUAGGCUAUUUGCCUCAUAUUUUUUGCAUUUUAUGCACGUUAUGUGUAUAGUGUAUUAUUUCUAUGACUAAUAUUUGAGAAAUAUAUUUUUUCACAUGCAAUUGAUUUGAACUUCACGUGAGGAUAUUUCAAUUAAUCGCUAAGGUAUGUGAUAUAAAUAUUAGUGCUUAAGAACAUUUAUUUUAAUUUAGCUACGUCUAAUAGAAAUAUGGGCUCCAUAAUUUUUGUCCGAUAAUUUAUUUUGGUAGAAAAUAUACACAUUUAUUUGGGAAACACUAUUUUAUUUUUCUUAUUGCCAAUUUGGAAAUUUGAAUGCAAGCAAGUUCAGUCACUGAAUAUAUAUUCGCAUCUCUAGGACCAUGAUAACGCUACAACCUUAUGCUUAAAACAAAGAUGAUAAAAGGCUUAAGUAUGAAAAUGAAAGAAAAAAACUUAAACAACAAAGGUGUACGAUUUUGAUUAUUUGACAGAGAAAGUCAGACCUAACAUUUCUGCUUUUAAGCGAUAAUAUAUUUUUAAAACGAAUCCGAUCAUUUUCUCAUGGUAGCUUCGAAGAAGACGUAUUACUACUAGUCCCCUCCUUAGACGACGGAUCGAGCCGAACCUCCUCCUCCUCCACCAUCCGCCGGAGGAACUUGUUGGGAAGAUCCGGCGGAUGGAUCCGACCCGAAAGCUAUAGCGGAUGGAGAUACCGUGUACUGCUGAACCACGGCGCGGUAAUUGGCUAGAUCGGUGGUGAUUACUAUCGCUGGUGUAUUACGUGAGGCUCCUGAUCUUUUACGGCCUGUUUCUUGACUCGGACGUGAGUUCAUUUUGUUGUGUGUCUGUGAGAGUUUGUAAGAAAGAAAAGUGCAUUUGCCUUCGUUACUUAUUUGUUUAUUUAUAGGUUUUAUUUUGAUUCGACUUAGCCAGACGAAGACUAUUCUAAAUCAAUCGUGACUGUUAGUUGAGUUUUACCAACAAACUAUAAGAAUUAAGUUUGGUAAUUGGUAAUUGCCUACUUUCCCAACAAGUUUACGAAAUUGAUCCAUUUCACUCUAUGUAUUCUUCUAUUAAAGUAUUACGUAUAAUAAGUCCUUCACUUUACAUAAAACGUUACAAAGCUGACGACAUAUUUUCCUGAAAGUUCUUCUAACCAAAACUAGUGUGAAUCCUGAUCCUGACGUGUGAUACAAACUACAUCAUCGAUCGUUCUCUUUUUAUUAAUCAAAAACAGCCAAUGACCAAGCUUGGUGAUAAUCAAGCCCUAAUUAGAAAAUCACACACGAUAUUAAAGGAAAACUAAUAUUGGGAUCACAAGUGUGAAACAAUACAACAACAACAACAACAACAAAAGUAUAUACCUUCUUUCACUUAUCUCUUCACUUGUUGGCAUUUUCUUCCAUGCACUCUUAUUCAUCACACUUUUUAAAUAAAAAAUUAUACAAAAAAUAACGUACUAUAUAUACAAUCACAUUGGGAGGGCCAUGAGCAGCAUGGUCCGUUAUUUCAACAAAAGAAUUGUUUCACAAAAUUAUACCCCACAUGCCUUACUUGAAUAAUAAACUACUUACCACCAAUCCAUAUAAGGAAUCCACAGAGAAUCAUGGACAAAAAGGAUGGCUAACAUAAAUAACAGACAACAAUGAACACCAGACAAUGUACCAAAGCAACUCUCUCUAGUCUGAAACCCAUUCUGUUCUCCCAUGAUUGUGUCUCAGAAGCUGUGUAUGUACAGAAACGAUGGGAGAGGGAUUUGGGGCUAUGCAAGAAGCCUUUGUUUUAUUGGGUCUGAGUUGCGUCUUCUCUGGUUUUGCGCAGAUGCUUGCGUGAGUUUUCCUGCUCCGAUGAUGGCUUUACCUGACCGUGAUCCUAAGGAUUUUCCUGUUCAAGAAUUAAUAUUCAAAGUUUAGACUUAAAAAGACAAUAGAUCAAAGAUCAAAUGUGUUGCUUCUUAGAUGAAUGUGACUUGUUCCAUGUCUAUUCAAAGACUAUUAUCUUAAUCAUUAUAAGAAGUUUCCUAGGCCUAGAGAAAGAGAUCUGACCACUGUUUGGUAGAGAUAACCGUUCCUUUGGAUUGCUGUGAGAUCUUGGACCAGCACCAUGUCUUCUUGAGUUAACUUCAACAGCAAGGUCGUCUUUAACAAGCUUUGACCUAGCCUUGGAUACCACUGGAAUGCUUCCAGGUGAAGAAGAAUCAUUAUCAGACAGAGAUGGCCUUGUUGCCUUGCCACUCGAAACACCGGAUACAAGAGUUGAAGUGUUUGGCAUCCUGCUUGCACUUUUCAUCUGUGUUUUAUGCACACUCUCAGACUGCUCCAUAUUGUUUAAGUUUACAUCUUCUCUGAGGUUACUACUGUCAAGAAACCGAUUCUCCCAUGGACGAACAGCCAUCCAUCUCUCCAGCCAGUUCCAUCCCCAGUUGUUUUUGUCAGGUUGAAAUCCACUGUGCGCAGACAGCUGCCUAGUUCCUGCUUGCCACUACAAUACACCAAAUUCAAAUGUAAGAGAAAGAAUGAUCCUUAACUAGGAUAGAGGUUGUUGUGAGUAAAACCUGGUGAGUCAAAGCAUAAGCCAUAGCCCUCUCACGCUUAGCUGCAGCUUCCUGCCUCUUUAUCAGCUUUGCUUGGAUUUGCUCAACAGAUCCAAUGCUAUCACACCAACCUUCCUGAUAAGACAAUGUCAACACAACAAGAACUCUCUCAACAAAAGUAACAUAAAAUUUGUAUUUAGACAAGUGAUCAUCAGUCAUCACCUCUAUUUCUCGAACCCGGGAUUCAUCUGUUACUUGCUGUUGUAGCGUCUGCUGACCCGUUUCAGUUUCCAAGGAGAGACGAACACGUCUUGCACGUACACGAGCCUGGACUCUUACCAACGCUUGCAUGCACCGAAGCGUCACAGCUGCUUGUUUUCUCACAACGUGUCCUCUAACAAGGGCUUGUAGUCUCACCAAUCCCUUCAACGCUCUUAAAGCCCUUCUCGCCUACAAAAAAUUGUAUCUCCAAUUUUUCUCAGUCCAAUCAAGGCCAUAAAGAAUAGACAAUCACAGCACAACAAAUAAGAGGACUUAACAAGGAGAAAUUGAUACCAGAAAGGCUCGAAAAGCAGUUUGGAUGCGCGUUGCAGCCAGAUGUUCCUUCCUUUGUUCUUCAUAAGCUGCACCAUAUGACUGUAAUGAAGUUGAAGUAGAGACUCCAGCAUCUAUCACACUAUGCACAUUUGAAUCAUCAAGUCCAUCUUGGAACUUGUCAGCAUCAAAAUCAACUGAAUGCUUCCUCCCAAACCGGCUCUUGGUAGCAAUCUUCACCUUCAUCAGUUGAACAAACAUUUAAUGAAAACACAAAAAGAAAAUGAAAGUUGUAACCAAUAAUUGAUAAAGAGAUUCUCUAGUCAUUUACAUUAUCAUCCUUCUUUGAAGACUUUGACUUGGUGAAACCAACCAAUGCUUUAAUCCAUCUCCCUGAAGCACCCAUUGCACAUCAAUGAUAACAACAAACCUGCAAAACUGUAGCUGAAUUAUACAAAAAGAAACGAACUUUCUAUUUUGGGUCAAAGCAAAAAAACAAGGAAACUCAAUUGGGUAGCUAAAUGCUUCAGACACUGUUUUUUCGUUUGACCAAAACUUUUCGGACAAUGUUUUUUUUUUGUUUGACCAAAACUCUUCAGACAAUGUUUGGGAUCCCAGAGGAACACUAAAUCAAACAGCUGUCUAAAGCAAAAGAAUAAGAAAAUUUUGCAAUAAAACUUUCAAAUUAAGAAACAGAGAGAGAGAGACACUCGAGAGAGUAAGCAAAGUUAGAAACUUUACCGGCGGGGAAGGAAAGAUCAGCAGCCGAUGAGAUCCCCGAGGAGGGUGUGAAAGUGAGUGAUCUUCAGUCUCACUGACCGUCUUUCUUGCCUACUUUCUCUCUAUCUCUCUAGAUUUGGGUGAAGGAUUAUUUAUUACAGAUAGGAAUUGACUUGCUGAAAUUUGAUUUUUUUUUAUCGUUUCGUUUCCCUCUCCUUGGAUACGAAUGAGUGAAUGAUUGGAUAGAUUGCACGCCGUCAGGGUGCUAAAUUUACGCCGUGUAACCCGAACAUGCUGAGUUUGACAGCGUGACAGCGUUUUGUUUAGCUGUAAAACUGCGCGCUGUUUAGAUUCUGUUAUCCUUUUUUUUUUUUUGUGGACUUAUAUAGACUCUCUGAACCAAACUGGGAGAUCUUGAUUCAUGUGAACUACAAUCAUGAGAUUCUGUUAUCUCAUUUUGCAAAAUAAUGAACCAAUAAAUUAUUUAUUUAGUUUAAAAGUAUUGUUGAACCAAAGGUUCUACUAAAUGUUGAAUGAGUUAAUUGGAGACCAAAACAUGUUAGAAAUCUCGUUUAUUAGAAAUAAAUUGAAUCCGAUUACACAAGUGAGAGAAGGUUUAAGUAUGUAAUAAGUUCACACCAUUGAGUCGAGACAAUACGAUGUCUACUAAGAGAAUCAAACUCGGGUGUUUUUUUUUUUUACAAAUCAAACUCGGGUGUUUAUCUUUCCAAAUUCUCUCUAGACACUUUUUUAAAAAUAUGAAAUACAAAUAAAAAAGAAUUAAAAACAUCUAUUUUCGCCAAUAAUUCUCCCAAAACAAAACUCAAAACAAGAAAAAAGGAUGCAUAAACUCAAACAAAAGACACAAAAUAUUACUUUUUCCGUUUCAAAAUAGAUGUGAUUUUAGAAAGUUUUUAAUAUUUUAAAAUAGAUGAUGUUUUCAUAUAUCAAUGCAUUUUUCACUUUAUCAAAAACUGUGUAACUAAUGAUAUGUCUAUUUUGUGAUUGGUUGAUUAACUUUUAAUUUAUAUUUUAAUGAUAUUUUUAAGAUAAAAAAACAAAUUUCUUAAUAGUUGUGCACAAUCUUAAAAUUUUAUGUAUUUUGAAAUAGAGGGAGUACAAAACUAGAUGGAACCUAGCUAUUGUUUUCCAGUAAAUAAACAUAUAUAUUUUCUCUACAUUAAUGAAAGAAAAUAACAGAAAGGUAUACAUAACGGGUUGCAUAAAACCAAAAACAAAGUUAUAUGUAAUGGAUCACUGUUUGACGCUGACGAUGAGUUCGUCCGCGUCUAUGAUCAUUGACGCCGAACAACCAAUGCGAUUUGUGGGAAAGCAAUGGUCAAUCCAAUCACGACACCAGGUGCGAAACCUAUGGCUGCUGCAAUCCAGCUCAAGACUUGUUCCUCUUCUUCCUCCUCUAGCGGCGGGUCAUCAUGCCCAACCACUCCACACUCGUCGAGAGGAGCACCACAAAACCCCGAGACUCUCUGCGUUUGAAACUGUGUGCUUUGCGGAAUCAUCCCUACGAGCUUGUUGUGUGAAACUCUCACGGUAGAUAGGCUUGUGAGGCCCGCGAGACUAUGAGGAAUUUGUCCUGAGAGCUUGUUAAGAGUGUAAGGAUCCUGGUGUAACUCAUCUCUACUCCUUUAUUCGUCAAAACCAUUUUGAGUCUUGAUAAUAAGUGUUGUCUCCAAUGUACUUCAGUUUUGAAUGAUUUUUCUCCGAGUGCAUAGCGCUCCAGUACAUGAAGAAAUCAGACGGUAAGGCUCCCGUGAAUGCAUUAUGCGAUUCGCAGCUGAGGAAACCAAGUAGCAGCCUUUGGUUGGUAUUGUAACGACCCGUGAAACUCAUUAGAGUGGAGGACGAGUACUUGUAGCUUUGGCAAGCUCUUUAACCAGAAGGGAAAAGUAUCGUUGAUUCUGUUGUGCUCCAUGUUUAAAACUUCUAAAGAAGAGCAAUCAGAGAGAGAUCUUGGGAGUUUAUGAACCAAUUGGUUGCGACCAACAUUGAGUGACCUUAGAUUGCUGCCGUUGAGAAAUAUGUCUGGUAGUUUUCCACCGAGGUGAUUACUGCCAAGGCUUAACACUGAAAGAGACCUCUUGAUGAGAGUAUUGAGGCACUCAGGAACAGAUCCGUUCAAGUUGUUGUUUGAUAAGUUGAUAGGUACAAGCAUACUUAUGAGAGGAGAAGACUGAAGAAGAGUGAAGAGAUGAGAGGAGUCGCGGAGCUGAACGAAGAAGCUUGAAGAAUAAUAAAGGAUGAAAUAAAGACACGUGUGUGUUAAGUAGAGAGACUAUAAAUACUAGCUGAGAGUUUGUUAGACGGUUAUCGAGAGUUUACAAUUGUGAAUCUUAGCAUAUGAGCUGAGAGCUACUCAGGUGAUAGAGUAGUUGAGGAUUCAGGUGAUAGAAUCCUCCAUUGUUGUAAUUCUCGAGUUGCUUCAUCAAUAAAGAGUGUAUUUUCAGUAGUUACGAUCUUUGAUCCUAUCAAUUGGUGCGGUGAAACUGGUUCGUGAUCACGCGACUGCGGCGGAGAUUUGGAAGAUCGCGGAGAAGACGAAGUCGCGAUCGAUACGAUCUACAGCGGAAACGACGAGUUUCGAGAACGAUGUCGAAGGCGAAGAUAGCACCAGAGAGUCCGAUGAUCGGUUCCGAAGAGGAAUUUGAGGUCGAGGAAUCCGAUAUGACGGUGGAUUUCUUGAGAGGUGGUUACUCGAGACUCAAUCGCGCGAUGAAGGAGGUAGAGAGUAAUCAGGAGAAGACGAAUCAAGAGCUCAACGCGAUGCGACAAAUCUUAGAGCGCCUUGAUCCAUUACGGAAUCAACAACAUCAUUCACAGCCAAGUUCCUCCCGCGAUCAGGUACACUCUCGUCACUGGGAACGAAACCGGGAAGAACAAUCGCUAGGUUAUCGAUCUGGGAAUAUGAAUUUGGAUACUAGAGAUUCGAUGUUGAAGAAGAUACCAAUGCCUGUGUUCUCGGGGAAGCAACCUUACGUAUGGAUCACAGACGUUGAGAGAUGGUUUAGUAUUGGGAGGUAUGAGGAUAUGGAGAAGCUAGAGCUGGUUGCAUUAAGUUUGGAAGGAUGUGUGAAGAAGUGGUUUGGCUGGGAGCUGAAGAGGAGUGGGUUUCGGAAUUGGCAAGAGUUCAAGGAGAAAUUGCUGUUGCGGUUCACUGAGUCUAUUGAGGAAGAACCAGCUAGUCGUCUCAUUGCACUCAAGCAAACAGGUUCAGUGGCUGAGUAUGUAUCAGAGUUCGAAGAGUUAUCAGAAUUGGUUCCGGGAUUAACUGAUGAGUUCUUGAUCAAGAUCUUUUACAACGGACUCACACAAGAGAUGAAAGAGGUAAUCAGAAUGAAAGAGCCUAAAGGACUGGAGAACCACAUCGCAGCUGUCUUGAGAAUGGAAACACAAGAAUCAUUUGACCAUUUGAAGAAAGCCAUGGUUUCAGCUCCUGUAUUGGCCCUACCUGACUUUACGAAGCCAUUUAUAAUUGAGACUGAUGCGUCGGGUUUUGGGGUUGGAGCCGUGUUAAUGCAGAACAAGAAACCAAUCGCAUACUUCAGCCAUGCUCUAACACCAAGAGAGAGACUGAAACCAGCAUACGAGAGGGAGCUCAUGGCAGUGGUUUUUGCGGUACAAAAAUGGAAACAUUAUCUACUUGGUAGGAAGUUCGUGGUCCAUACAGAUCAAAGGAGCCUGAAGUAUUUGUUGGAGCAGAAGGAAGUGAACAUGGAGUAUCAGAAAUGGUUGACGAAACUUCUAGGCUAUGACUUUGAUAUCGUAUACAAGCCGGGUUGCGACAAUAAAGCGGCAGAUGGGUUGUCUCGGAUUGAAAAUGGGAGUUUAUUACACUGUGGAUCAGUCUGUUUGGCAUUGACAAUGCCUUCAGUCAUUCAAAUCCAAGAUAUAUACAACGAAAUAGCGGCGGAUGUAGAAUUGCAGAGGAUGAUUUCAUUGGUGAAAAAGGGAGAAUCAGUUAACGCACAUUAUCGAGUGAUUGAUAACAAAUUAUGGUACAAGCAGAGGUUGGUUAUACCGAAACAGUCGACGUUGAUACCAUUGAUCCUGUUUGAAUGUCAUGAUGGGAAAAUAGGGGGUCACUCAGGAGUAUUAAAGACAGUAAAGAGAGUUCAGACAAUGUUCCAUUGGGAAGGGUUAUUCAAGACAGUGCAGAAGUAUGUCUCAGAAUGUGGAGUGUGUCAAACUCACAAGUACUCUACACUAUCACCAGCAGGGUUACUACAACCCCUACCAGUUCCGGAGCGUGUAUGGGAAGAUAUCUCAAUGGAUUUUGUGGAAGGUCUGCCUACUUCUCACGGUAUUAACGUGAUCAUGGUCGUUGUUGAUCGCUUGAGUAAAUAUGGCCACUUUAUAGGACUGAAACACCCGUUUACAGCAGUGGAUGUGGCAAGUAAAUUCAUGUCAGAGGUUGUUCGUCUCCACGGCUUUCCAAAGUCAAUUGUCUCGGAUCGUGACAGGAUUUUUUUGAGCAACUUUUGGAAAGAUUUGUUUCGUCUCUCGGGCACUAAACUGAAGUAUAGUACAGCUUUUCAUCCACAAACAGACGGUCAAACAGAGGUAUUGAAUCGAUGUAUGGAGACCUAUCUUAGAUGCUUUGCAUCAGGACAUCCUAAGACGUGGUAUAAGUUCCUCGCAUGGUCUGAGCUAUGGUAUAAUACAUCAUUUCAUACUGCGUUAAAAGCAACGCCAUUCCAGGUCGUCUACGGCCGGGAACCGCCUCGGUUGUUACGAUUUGAAAAGGGUUCAACACUGAACUUUGAGUUGGAAUCUGCACUGAAGGAGAGAGAUGCUAUGUUGGUUCAGAUUCGUCUUCACUUGGCUAGGGCUCAGUCUUUGAUGAAGUCUCAAGCCGACAAACAUAGGCGAGAUGUUCAGUUUACGGUGGGCGACUUGGUGUAUCUUAAGUUGAAGCCAUUUCGUCAGAACACAGUGGUCAAACGUUAUUGUCAGAAACUUGCUGCGAAGUACUUUGGACCAUAUGAGAUUACAGAGAAGGUGGGAAAGGUAGCUUAUCGUUUAAGGUUACCUAUUGAAUCCAAAAUACACCCUGUCUUUCACAUUUCACAGUUGAAAGCGGCGUUGGGACAAGAUCAAGUUCGUCAGGUGGUUCCACCUACUUGCACAGAUUUGGAGAACAUUGUUAUGGAACCAGCGGAUGUAUUGGCUUCUCGUGUUCAAGAUGAUGGCAUGGUGGAAUUAUUGGUUCGUUGGCAAAACUCCUUGGACCAUGAGGACUCGUGGAUGGGGUUGAGGGAGUUUGAGGAUCAUUUUCCAGAUUACAAGCUUGAGGGCAAGCUUGCUCUCAAUGGGGGGAGUAUUGAUAGGUACAAGCAUACUUAUGAGAGGAGAAGACUGAAGAAGAGUGAAGAGAUGAGAGGAGUCGCGGAGCUGAACGAAGAAGCUUGAAGAAUAAUAAAGGAUGAAAUAAAGACACGUGUGUGUUAAGUAGAGAGACUAUAAAUACUAGCUGAGAGUUUGUUAGACGGUUAUCGAGAGUUUACAAUUGUGAAUCUUAGCAUAUGAGCUGAGAGCUACUCAGGUGAUAGAGUAGUUGAGGAUUCAGGUGAUAGAAUCCUCCAUUGUUGUAAUUCUCGAGUUGCUUCAUCAAUAAAGAGUGUAUUUUCAGUAGUUACGAUCUUUGAUCCUAUCAUAAGUCCACAACUUCUAGGGAAGUCAUAUCACAUAUCGAUAUGGGAAUCUCUCCUGAGAAGUUAUUUUCGCUCAGAGAUAUCACUUCCAUCUGCGUUUUUGAGAGAUGUUUUGGGAAUUGUAUGAAACCGCUGAACAUGUUGUUGGAGAGAUCAGCAUACGUCAGUUUUGGAAGUUUCCAUAACCAACCGGGCACUCCACCUUUGAUUUCGUUGUAAGAAAGGUCUAAGGAAAUCAUAUGUUGUUGGGUUCUUAUGAACUUUGGAAAUCUUGUGAUACCACAGUCUGACAUUUUCAACCUGUUCAGUUGCGAUGAAAGAAUGGAAACUGAACUCAUGUUUUUAGGUGAAACAUAGUUGCCUGAAAGACGCAAUGUAGUCAGCGACUCGAGAUGCGAGGAUGAAAUUUUAUUCAAAUCAAUCACAGUGGUGGUGUUUAAGUAGGAUAGGUAAAGAUGUUUGAGCAACUUGAGAUGUUAGAAGAUACCAAAGUCAAAUGGCGCUUGAGUGUCCAAAUAGGAAAGAUCAAGGAACACAAGGUUGACAAAUUUUGAUAUGGAUCUAGGGAUUGGCCCUGUCAAAUCGUUUCGGGAGAGAUCUAGUUCUUGUAGCUUAGACAUUGAAGAUAUAUUCCCAAUCUCAAGAGGGCCACUGAGUUGGUUAUUAUUUAAAAAUAUUGUCUCCAAAGAAGGAAUGGUGAAGAGAGUAGACGGGAUUGAUCCAACAAAAGAGUUUAAACUUGCAUCAAAGUACUUCAAGUUGGAGAGUGAAGUGAUGUUAGGAGAAAGAGCGCCUGUGAAGUGAUUGAAGGCUAAUGCUAAAUCUGUUAACUUUGUGAGAUUGAGUAAUGCAGUGAGAAAAUCUCCACUGAACAUGUUAUUCAACACAUUUACAUUGGUCAUUUGGUUAAGGUUUUGUAUUGAAGAUGGGAUUUCACCAUCAAAGUUAUUAGAAGAAAGGUGGAGAGUGUUGAGGAGAGAAAGGUUUCCAAUUGAAAAUGGAAUCUUCCCUGUGAGGUUACAAUUGUCAAAUCUCAAGACAUUCAAGUGUUUGAGGUUGCCAAUGGAGGUUGGUAUGUAGAGAUGUCAAAUGGGCUGUCCAUGUCCAAUGGGCAUGUCCAAAUGGACAAACUAGUUUAUUGGACAAUAUUAUUUUUAAGUCCAAAUUGGACCAUGUCCAAACUGUCCAGACCAAAUGGGCAUUCCGCGAGGCCCAAUUAAAAAAACAGUGUUAAAAUACAAAAAUUUAUAUGCAACAUAAUUUCACUACAUUUCAUGGAGUUUAAAAAUAUAGAUAAAGUUCAUACAUCAUCCAAUGGCCUAAAUAAGCUUCAUACAUACAUAGAUUAGGUUCAUACAUUAUUCAAACUCCAAAGCAUAGAUUAGGUUCAUACAUACAUUAGAUUAGGUUCAUACACACAUAAUUAAACUUCAGUCUUUCCUCUCACUCCAUCAUUAGAGAUUAACCUGCACAAGAGACCCCAACAUUACCAUCAAGCAAACAACAGAACGUCUUCUACAUUGAAUUGUGUCAGUUUCUAAGUGAUUAAACCAGAAACACAAUUACAGCUACAGCUCGUUUCUAAGUGAUUAUACCUUUAAUUGUGUCGAGUCUUCUUCUUCUUUCCAUUUCCUUCUGCUUCCUCAUUGGCAUCUUCCUGAACUUCCUCAUCUAAAUCGCAUCCAGCUAUCAAAAACAAGAAGUUCAAUCAAUAAUUUCACAUAUCAAAGCUCAAUUAUAAAUUCAACAAACUCACCAAUCACUUCAAAACCACGAAGCCAGUUUCUAGCACAAAUCAAAGCUUGGACAUUUGAUGGAAGAAGGCGGCUCAUGUACUUGCUAAGAACCCGACUUCCCACACUGAAGGAUGACUCAGACGACACUGUUGUUAUUGGGAUGCAUAGGACAUCACAUGCCAUUCGAGACAGCUCCUUAAACCUGUUUGCAUUGUCCCUCCAGUACUUGAUGACAUCUAACUUUUGAUUUGCAACCAUAUCGAGCACAGGUUCACUCAGAUACAAAUCUAAAGCAGAUUUCCUUGUUCCUGCUUGUUGAGAGAAGAACUCAUAGAAGCCCUGCAAAAAAAAGAGAUUAUUAAAGCGUAUGUUGAGAGAAGAAUACACAUCUGAUUCUGGUAAAUAAUUUAAAUAAUUUAAGUAACUUACCCCAUAACCAGAUGGUAAAGCAUUUGCUUCUACUUCUUGUGAACUAUGCGCACUAGUAUUCUUCUUGUAAUCUCCAUACAGCUUCAACAUCCUUUUGCGUAUGUAAUCCAUUCGGGAUUUACAAGUUGCUGGAUCUGAACUGUGGUAGCAGUACUCCAAAACCUUGAACUUUAGCCUAGGAUCUAACACUGCUGCAAUGGCUAAAAUGUCGCUGUACUCUUCCCAAUACUUAACAAACUUCAUCCUCAUGGAAGCCACCAUAUCAGCAAUCACUGUAUCUUCAUGGAACUCAUUUGAACUCAACCAAUUUUGAAUUUUCCAUACUUCCAUGAAGUACAGAUUCGCGGUAGGGUAAGAAGAGCCGGAAAUGAGCCUUGUCAUCUCUUCAAACGGCUGUAACAGAUUACAAAUCAGCCCAGCUCUUAACCACUCAGACUCUGUAGGUAAGCUCUUGUAACUUGCUUCGAUUUCUGCAAGAUUCUUAAAUGCUUCUUUGUAGUGAAGAGCCCUAGACAGCAUCAUAUAAGUUGAGUUCCACCGCGUAGUGACAUCCAAAACUAAACUGCCUUUCUUAACAAUUCCAAGAGUCUCCACACAGCCUUGAAACAGCAACUCUCUAGACUCACUGACCUUGACAUACUUAACACUGUCUCUGAUCUUCUCCAAAGCCUCACUUAUCACCGCUAAUCCGUCUUGGACAAUGAGAUUCAGAAUGUGAGCAGCACACCUGAUGUGAAAGAACUCGCCACCGCAGACUAAAUCCUUUCUAAGUUGCCUCUUGAGAAAUCCUUGCAUGUUGUCAUUUGAGGAGGCAUUGUCUACGGUUACUGUGAAGACCUUCUUCUGCAACCCCCAUUCUUUAAUCAGCUCCAUUAGUUUCAUGGCAAUGGCCGGACCAGAAUGGGGUGGAGGGAAAGCACAGAAGGAGAGGAU